rnacentral:rRNA from 1 species
ACUCAAAGGAAUAGACGGGGGCCCGCACAAGCGGUGGAGCAUGUGGUUUAAUUCGAUGCAACGCGCAGAACCUUACCUACCCUUGAAUCCACGGAAGCUUCUAGAGAUAGAGGCGUGCCUUCGGGAACCGUGAGACAGGUGCUGCAUGGCUGUCGUCAGCUCGUGUCGUGAGAUGUUGGGUUAAGUCCCGUAACGAGCGCAACCCCUAUCCUUAGUUACCAGCGAGUUAUGUCGGGGACUUUAAGGAGACUGACGGUGAUAAACCGUAGGAAGGUGGGGACGACGUCAAGUCAUCAUGGCCCUUAUGGGUAGGGCUACACACGUGCUACAAUGGCCAGUACAAAGGGUUGCCAACCCGCGAGGGGGAGCUAAUCUCAUAAAGCUGGUCGUAGUCCGGAUCGGAGUCUGCAACUCGACUCCGUGAAGUUGGAAUCGCUAGUAAUCGUGGAUCAGAACGUCACGGUGAAUACGUUCCCGGGCCUUGUACACACCGCCCGU